ACAAGUAAACCACACAAGAAGUGUGUAUGUUUGCUUAAGGUGUGAGCAUGGCUCCUUGCUUCCAUGUGUAAUGGGAUCUUGUGCAGCAUCAUUGGCAUUUCUCUUUACAAUUCAGCUUACACGUUGAUAAAAGCAACAAAGAAUCAAGAAUGACUAAAUAGAAUGUUGGAUGUAGAAAGUGGAAGGACAAGUUGAUUGAUUCAUUUUGCUAUGAAUUUUUAUUGGUUAGUUUGCAUAUGUUUUGUUUUGUUAUUUGGAAAUGUUGUCAUUUGAUGAAUUCUUUGGAAGCCAAUCACGCGGCGGCGAGAGUAAUAAUUUUGCUUGGAUCAUGUUGAACUUUUUGGGAUAUUACAACUUGUUGAAACACUAUAUUGUGGGUCCCAGUUUUAUACAGUAGUAUUUUUGUUCCUUCAUUUUGAAGGUGCCAACCCUUGUGUCCUAGCUUAUUAAUUCAUCCAAGUCGCAAUAUUUAUCAAAAUAUUGGACCAUAAUGUAAGUUCGGAUGACUUCGAGUCAAAUCAUUUUAUUAUCGAUUUUCUUUUUUUAUUCAUGUACUCUUGCAUGGUCGUUUCCACUAUAUCAAUGAGACAUCACUUCUCAUCGUUAUUAUCAAGAAGAGUUUCGAUAGAAGGAGUUUGUCAGAGUUUGUCGAACCCUAGACAUUGAAAUUGGUGUUGGAUCAAUGAGAAGAGUUUAGGCAAUUGAACCAAAAGUAAUUGAAUAAAUGAGACACUCAUAUCUUAUCCUAAAAUCUUAAGUUAUUAAAUUAUAGAUCCUCUCGUUUAUAUAUUGGUCAACACUUUCUUUUUUAUCUCAUGUGAGACUUUUAAUUGACCUCGCAUUUGCCACAAUACAAACAACACAUUAAACCUCUUUUAAACAACAAAUAUUUGAUAAACUAAUUGAUAAUAUGUGAGUUUAGAGCUGAUAGUGGCCGGAUAAACAAAGAUGGCAAGAGAAGCAAGUAGAACAAUGGCUACAACUGCAAUCUUGACCUUUCUUCUAUAAUCUUAAUCUUUCACACAAUAUACACAAAAGUGAAGAAGUUGGUGUUCAAGCCUCAUUCAUGACAUUCGACCUAACAAUUCUGAGACAUCUUUUUUUUUUUUUCGGUGGUGGACGGGAUUUAAACCCCAGACCUUGCAUAUAUUAUAUAUUGUCCUUACCAACUGAGCUAUGCUCACGAGAACGAAGAUGACAUCUUAAUUAACGUUCACUACUUUCUCUUCUCACUCAUAUUUUUUUCUUUGCACUUUGGGCCCUUAAAUUUAUUAUAAUUUUCCAGGUGAAGCAUCCUUUGCAAUAUUUAUGCGUUUUCCCCCUUUUUAAUUCAUUUUCUUUUAUUAGUCUAUUUUAAUUAUUAAAAAAAUCUGCAAAUGACAUGUGGUGGAAAUCCACACAUAUUUUUUUACCAUUUUUCAGUGUGUUGGCUCUAAUGUAAUUGGCUCUAAUAUAAUUUGAGAAGCGUUCGGUAAUUAAUUUGUUGAACGUUCGUGAACUAAAUAACCUAAACACAAGUUGAAAACUAAGUCUAUAAUUAACUAAAUGAAAUAAACGUGAGCUAUGAAUGUUCGACUUGUUUAUUCAUAAGUUGGUUUGAUUGUUUGUGAUACUAACAAAAUAUUUAUAUUUAAAUUUAUAUACGUAUCAAAUGUCAAUACAUCGUGGAUAAUCGCGGAUACAUGCUCUACAAGUAUCGUAAUUAUUUUUAUUCAGAAAAAAGUAUAAUUAUUUUUUAAAAUAUAUUCUACUAGAUACAUAUAUCUGAUACUUCAAAGAAAGUUGUGGAUACAUAUUUUAAUAUGUAUCUCAGAUGGUUUUUUUUAAAGAAAGUCGUAAAUUACUCUCAAUUCAUUAAGGAGUAAUGUAGGCGUCACCGAUAAAGUUUUUUUUUACAAUCAAUUACCAUUUAUUUUCAUCUCAAGAACGUCAAACUUCUUCUUUACCUUCAUUCAACAUGUGAUCACUGUCUCUUUUGUUUCAUGUGAUCAACUCAUGCAAAUUUAUUUAUUUUUAAAUUGUGAUCAUUAUAAUUAUAUAUUAUUGAAGAAUCAUCGAUGGAUCUUCUUCACAAGUAAUAUGGAGUACAUGAUUUUUAUUUAAAAACUUUCUUAAUGUAUUUGGCCCGUAUCAUAUGUUGAAUUUUUAAAAUAACAAUCAUCAUACAUGUAUAAUAGAGUAAUUUGAUAGUGGGAUACCCUUUAAUACAAAUAAGUAAUCCAUAUGUAUGCCAAAGAAUGAAACAAAAAUAUACCACGCUCUUGUUCUGCUUUACAGCAAAAGGACCCGCACUCUUUUUUCAUUUAUAUAUCAUCUCCGUUUAAUUUCUUUUAAUACUAAUCACGAUAUUGAUAUAACUCAAAUCUUGAUACAAUGAUAUUGUAAAAAAAUGCAAACAAAUACAGCUGAUACGGCUACAAUUACAGUUACAAUGUCAUUGCAAGACCUUUAAAACCAUUAAAACUAACUAGCUAGUGUGACAUUAGAGUUUUAUGCAGCGGGAGCAUAGUCAUAACCACCGUCAUCGUCAUCAUCACCUUCCUGGUAAGAAUCUCGGUCUCCGUUAUGAUAAUCUUCUUCAAUGCAAGAUACACUUGUAUAAUCAAACCAAUUACCUUCACCAUAUGCAUGUUGCUUGCAGUUUAGAGCAAUGACCAUGGAAAUGGAUGCCAUUUUAGUUAUAUGAGAUGCUAAUGUAAUUGUGUGAGUUGAGCUGUGUUUGAGUUAGGAUUGGAGAGUUUGUGUGUUAUAUAUAACAAAAAGAGUUGUUGUUGGAGUUGUUCUAACACAAGCAAACCACACAAGAAGUGUGUAUGUUUGCUUAAGGUGUGAGCAUACCUCAGUGCCUGCAUGUGUAAUAGAAUCUUGUGCAGCCACAUUGGCAAUUGUCUUUACAUUCAGCAUACACGUUGGAAAUAGCAGCUAAGAAUCAAGAAUAUUGACAAAAUAGAAUGUUUGAGUGGAUGCACAAUGGUUGGGACAUAUAAAGUGUUGGAUGUAGAUAGUGGAACAAGUUGAUCGAUUCAUUUAGCUAAGACUUGUUAGUCAAUGGCCUUUUUCGAAAUGUUGUC
rnacentral:lncRNA from 1 species